rnacentral:rRNA from 1 species
AGGGUUUGAUUCUGGCUCAGGAUGAACGCUGGCGGCGUGCCUAACACAUGCAAGUCGAGCGAUUUUCUUCGGAGAAGAGCGGCGGACGGGUGAGUAACGCGUGGGUAACCUGCCCUGUACACACGGAUAACAUACCGAAAGGUAUGCUAAUACGAGAUAAUAUACUUUUAUCGCAUGGUAGAAGUAUCAAAGCUUUUGCGGUACAGGAUGGACCCGCGUCUGAUUAGCUAGUUGGUAAGGUAACGGCUUACCAAGGCGACGAUCAGUAGCCGACCUGAGAGGGUGAUCGGCCACAUUGGAACUGAGACACGGUCCAA